rnacentral:rRNA from 1 species
AACUGUUGUGGGCGUGACGGUAUCCAACCAGAAAGCCACGGCUAAUUACGUGCCAGCAGCCGCGGUAAUACGUAGGUGGCAAGCGUUAUCCGGAUUUAUUGGGCGUAAAGCGAGCGCCGGCGGUUUUUUAAGUCUGAUGUGAAAGCCCUCGGCUUAACCGAGGAAGUGCAUCGGAAACUGGGAAACUUGAGUGCAGAAGAGGACAGUGGAACUCCAUGUGUAGCGGUGAAAUGCGUAGAUAUAUGGAAGAACACCAGUGGCGAAGGCGGCUGUCUGGUCUGUAACUGACGCUGAGGCUCGAAAGCAUGGGUAGCGAACAGGAUUAGAUACCCUGGUAGUCCAUGCCGUAAACGAUGAAUGCUAGGUGUUGGAGGGUUUCCGCCCUUCAGUGCCGCAGCUAACGCAUUAAGCAUUCCGCCUGGGGAGUACGACCGCAAGGUUGAAACUCAAAGGAAUUGACGGGGGCCCGCACAAGCGGUGGAGCAUGUGGUUUAAUUCGAAGCAACGCGAAGAACCUUACCAGGUCUUGACAUCUUUUGAUCACCUGAGAGAUCAGGUUUCCCCUUCGGGGGCAAAAUGACAGGUGGUGCAUGGUUGUCGUCAGCUCGUGUCGUGAGAUGUUGGGUUAAGUCCCGCAACGAGCGCAACCCUUAUGACUAGUUGCCAGCAUUUAGUUGGGCACUCUAGUAAGACUGCCGGUGACAAACCGGAGGAAGGUGGGGAUGACGUCAAAUCAUCAUGCCCCUUAUGACCUGGGCUACACACGUGCUACAAUGGAUGGUACAACGAGUUGCGAGACCGCGAGGUCAAGCUAAUCUCUUAAAGCCAUUCUCAGUUCGGACUGUAGGCUGCAACUCGCCUACACGAAGUUGGAAUCGCUUGUAAUCGCGGAUCAGCACGCCGCGGUGAAUACGUUCCCGGGCCUUGUACACACCGCCCGUCACACCUUGAGAGUUUGUAACAC